AUACGUAGGUGACAAGCGUUAUCCGGAUUUACUGGGCGUAAAGGGCGUGUAGGCGGUCUUGCAAGUCAGAAGUGAAAUUCCUGAGCUCAACUCGGGCGCUGCUUCUGAAACUGCAGGACUUGAGUGCUGGAGGGGAUAGCGGAAUUCCUAGUGGAGCGGUAAAAUGCGCAGAUAUUAGGAAGAACACCGGUGGCGAAGGCGGCUAUCUGGACAGUAACUGACGCUGAGGCGCGAAAGCGUGGGGAGCAAACAGGAUUAGAUACCCUGGUAGUCCACGCGGUAAACGAUGAAUGCUAGGUGUAGGGGGUAUCGACCCCUCCUGUGCCGGAGUGAACACAAUAAGCAUUCCGCCUGGGGAGUACGGCCGCAAGGUUGAAACUCAAAUGAAUUGACGGGG
rnacentral:rRNA from 1 species